rnacentral:rRNA from 1 species
UACAGGGGGGGCAAGCGUUGUUCGGAAUUACUGGGCGUAAAGGGCUCGUAGGCGGCCAACUAAGUCCGACGUGAAAUCCCAAAGCUUAACUUUGGAACUGCGUCGGAUACUGGAUGGCUUGAGGUUGGGAGAGGGAUGCGGAAUUCCAGGUGUAGCGGUGAAAUGCGUAGAUAUCUGGAGGAACACCGGUGGCGAAGGCGGCAUCCUGGACCAAUUCUGACGCUGAGGAGCGAAAGCCAGGGGAGCAAACGGG